GUCGGGGUGGCGGAACAGGCAGACGCGCACGUUUGAGGGGCGUGUGGUGAACACCGUGUGGGUUCAAGUCCCAUCCCCGACACCA
rnacentral:tRNA from 1 species